rnacentral:misc_RNA from 1 species
UGUAAAUUUUGACGUCAAGCAAACAUCAGAAACUGUCAAAGUCACGAAACAGACGCUAAAGUCUAUCUUUUCGUAAAUAAAAGCGAAAAAUUGCUGUUAUUUGUAAUAUUUGGCAUAAAAAGUACUUAAAACGAUUCGUAUUAAGUUCGAGGCUGUGUAUAAAACAUAAAUAUGGGGGAUUUGUGCACCGCUUGCAUGUGUUCGGGACGGAAUUUGUAUUACAUCGGAGAUACUGGCUAUCACCACUUGUAUUCGCAAAUUUUGAAUGAAAUACAGAUCUACGACACAUCUGCUCUAUACAUCCGAGUGUGCUGGGAGUGCCGCGCCGUGCUGCGCAAGUGGCUGCAGUUCACGCGCCGCGUCAAGCUCAGCCACAACCGGCUGCAGUACAUGCUACAGAACAACUUUUCAGACAUCGCCCCCGAGCCGUCCCGGCUACAAAUCUGCCAAGUAGUCACCGAAAGCUUUCCCCUACUCACCCACAUCAAGGCUGAACACCCGCAAUCCCCGCUGUCACCGUCACCGCACUCACUCGGUGACGAUGACGGAGCGGACGGAGCGGGCUACGGUGACGGUGAAAGCGGGGGCUACGAUUGUGUGAAGGAGGAAGCAAUGCACUGUGAGCCGGAGACCUUUGUCAAUGAUCUGCAGUUUGAGACCAAGAAGAAGAAGGAUAAGAAGCCACCGAAAAUAAAAGAGAAAUCAAAGAAGAAAGAUAAAACCAAGCCCGAAAAGGUACCUCCAAAGAAAAAGGUAAAGACUCGGAAGAAACGGCGGAUAUCCUUGGAGGAGGAGCAGUUUGAUGAGAGAGAGGAGAUUGAGACGGAUGUAGUGGGAGAGAAGGAGGUAAAGGAUGUGAAGGAUGUCACGGUUAAGAGUGUGGUAGAUGCAGAUAUAGUAGAAGAGCGGAUCCCCGAGAGUUCAACACUGACGGACAGCAAGUGUCUGCCCGACAAGCCUCAAUGCGCCGAGUGCGGCAAGCACUUCAGCUCCAAGAAGACUUAUAGGUACCAUCUCAACGUCUUACAUAAAGGUCAGAACAGAUACCCGUGUCCUCGCUGCGGGAAGGUCUACCAGUGGAAGUCUAACCUUGGCCGACAUCUCAGAAGUCAUAAGGCUCGGGAUUCAGGCGAACUGUACUGCGCUCUAUGCGACAAGCGUUUCGCGUCCGUCGCGACAUACAGGCAACACCUCCGAGUGUCGCGUCGACAUGUCACCGAGACUGAUUUCAGUUUUACCUGUCAUGAAUGUGGUAAGAAGUUCGUCAGUAAGACGCGACUCCGCGAUCACAUCGAUUGGGAACAUCUCAAUAAUAUCAAGUUUCGAUGCCAGCUCUGUAAUAAGGCGUUCAAAUGCCACACAUCUCUGUACGUGCACCUGCAGAACGUGCACAGGAACAAGGAGAAAAAGGACAACCUCUGCCACGUCUGCGGCAAGUCUUACCAGAACGCGGCCAAGCUAAAGUACCACAUAGUAGCCAUGCAUACAGGAGAGACGCCUUACCGCUGCCAGCAAUGCAGCGCGGCUUUCGGCUGGUAUUCCUCGUUGUACCGACACGUCAGGGAGGUGCAUUACAAGAUGAAAAUGCAGCCGAAGAAAUCGAAAAAGAUCAAGAAACCGGAAAUGCCCCCCCUACUCGUACACAAACCGGAAAUGGUACCCUCUCUACUGAGUCAGAAGUCUGACAUGGGUCCGACAUUGUUGGGGCAGCAAUUGUCUCUCCCACCGCUACCGAUUGGCAAUGCUCUAGGGACCAUAGAGCCUCGAUAGACUCUAGAACGGCUGUUAAGACUAUAGGGCCUUACUAGAGACUCUAAGGUGACUCUAGUAAGGCCGUAAAGACUAUAGGGCCUUACUAGAGACUCUGAGGUGACUCUAGUAAGGCCGUAAAGACUAAAGGGCCUUACUAGAGACUCUAAGGUGACUCUAGUAAGGCCGUAAAGACUAAAGGGCCUUACUAGAGACUCUAAGGGUCUGUUCAAACAGACCGGCUCGGAGAGCAUCGGCGCGCAUUUUUCUUUUCACACAGACCGGAGCCGAUCGGCUGCGCGAACGUUAAAGAGCAUGCAAUCGGAGCCAAACGUCAAGAAAAAGUACGAGAUCGGAGCCGGUCGGCUCCUCUUAUUAUUUCACACCGAGCGCCUUCGAGCAUUCUUAAUGACAAAAGCAGUGCGCAUGCAAAAAUAAACCUUGCUACAAAUACUAAGUACUCGAUUUUCAACGUGUUU